rfam:Dipodomys ordii contig_22980, whole genome shotgun sequence.
GGUGGCUUAGUGGUAGAGUACUUGCCUUGCAUGCAUGAAGCCCUGGGUUCGAUUCCUCAGCACCA